rnacentral:rRNA from 1 species
AGGACGAACGCUGGCGGCGUGCCUAACACAUGCAAGUCGAACGGAGCCCGCAAGGGUUCAGUGGCGAACGGGUGCGUAACACGUGAGGAACUUGUCCAUCGGCGGGGGAUAGCCGGCCCAACGGCCGGGUAAUACCGCGUACGCCGUCCGGAGCGCAUGCUCUGGCCGGGAAAGCAGCAAUGCACCGAUGGAGAGCCUCGCGGCCUAUCAGCUAGUUGGUGGGGUAAUGGCCUACCAAGGCGACGACGGGUAGCUGGUCUGAGAGGAUGACCAGCCACAUUGGGACUGAGACACGGCCCAGACUCCUACGGGAGGCAGCAGUGGGGAAUAUUGCGCAAUGGGCGAAAGCCUGACGCAGCGACGCCGCGUGUGGGAUGACGGCCUUCGGUUGUAACCACUGUCGCGAGGGACGAAGAUCUGACGGUACCUCGAAAGGAAGCACCGGCUAACUCUGCGCCAGCAGCCGCGGU